AGAGUUUGAUCAUGGCUCAGGACGAACGCUGGCGGCGUGCCUAAAACAUGCAAGUCGAACGAGAGCUUCGGCUCUAGUGGCGAACGGCGGAGUAAUACGUGAACAACGUGCCCCUAAGUCCGGGACAAACGCAGAAAUGCCAUAAAUACCGGAUGUGGUCAGGAUGAUGCAUAUCGAUCUGAUUAAAGGUUUUUCGCUUAGGGAGCGGUUCACGGCCUAUCAGCUAGUUGGCGGGGUAAAAGCCCACCAAGGCGACGACGGGUAGGGGGUCUAAGAGGAUGAUCCCCCCGAGUGGGACUGAGACACGGCCCACACACCUACGGGUGGCAGCAGUUGGGAAUSUU
rnacentral:rRNA from 1 species